rnacentral:rRNA from 1 species
AUUGAACGCUGGCGGCAUGCCUUACACAUGCAAGUCGAACGGUAACGCGGGGGCAACCCUGGCGACGAGUGGCGAACGGGUGAGUAAUACAUCGGAACGUACCCAGUAGUGGGGGAUAGCUCGGCGAAAGCCGGAUUAAUACCGCAUACGACCUAUGGGUGAAAGCGGGGGAUCGCAAGACCUCGCGCUAUUGGAGCGGCCGAUGUCGGAUUAGCUAGUUGGUGAGGUAAAGGCNCACCAAGGCUACGAUCCGUAGCUGGUCUGAGAGGACGACCAGCCACACUGGGACUGAGACACGGCCCAGACUCCCACGGGAGGCAGCAGUGGGGAAUUUUGGACAAUGGGCGCAAGCCUGAUCCAGCCAUGCCGCGUGUGUGAAGAAGGCCU